rnacentral:rRNA from 1 species
CGCGAAAGGGACUUCGGUCCUGAGUAAAGUGGCGCACGGGUGAGUAACGCGUAGAUAACCUGUCUUCAUGUCUGGAAUAAUACACCGAAAGGGGUACUAAUACCGGAUAUUCUUGCUUUAUAUAAGUUUUGCAAGCAAAGGUGGCCUCUGAUUCAAGCUACUGCAUGUAGAGGGGUCUGCGUACCAUUAGCUAGUAGGUAGGGUAAUGGCCUACCUAGGCGACGAUGGUUAGCGGGUCUGAGAGGAUGAUCCGCCACACUGGCACUGGAACACGGGCCAGACUCCUACGGGAGGCAGCAGUGAGGAAUAUUGCGCAAUGGGGGCAACCCUGACGCAGCGACGCCGCGUGAGUGAGGAAGGCCUUCGGGUCGUAAAGCUCUGUCAAGAGGAAAGAAAUGCAUAGCGGUUAAUACCCGAUAUGUUUGACGGUACCUCUAAAGGAAGCACCGGCUAACUCCGUGCCAGCAGCCGCGGUAAUACGUAGGUGGCAAGCGUUGUCCGGAAUUAUUGGGCGUAAAGAGCAUGUAGGCGGAGGUUUAAGUCUGUUGUG